GCGGCCCUCAACUCACUCUACAGCUUCGCCACUGUCUGCAGCCCAGCAGCUCCAUCAUGAUUCAAAAGUACCCUAAGGCAAACUUCUUAUUCUCUGACACCUACAUGGCUUCCUAAAAACCUCAGAGCAGAGAGCACUCCCUUCUGUCAAUGCAUUUGAAAGAGUUCUAGUUGUUUCUUUCUUUCUUCCUCUCUCUCGCCAUUGCAGUCCUUCAGUGCUGAGCAGAUUGCUGGUAAGUGAAUUGAGCUUCUCUGCUUCAGAGGUAGGCAGAGCACUGCUCAGUUUCUGAAAUAAUACUCAUCUCCAAGGCAUGUUACUGUGUGGCUCAAACUGUGAGUAUCCAAGCUAUGCCUGAACUCUGAAAAGUAGGCAUACUUUUUGAGCUUACUUUGACGAUUACUCAGGGAAUGAGCUUGGAUACAUUU
rnacentral:lncRNA from 1 species